GACGAACGCUGGCGGCGUGCUUAACACAUGCAAGUCGAACGAUGAAGCUGGAGCUUGCUCUAGCGGAUUAGUGGCGAACGGGUGAGUAACACGUGAGCAAUCUGCCCUUGACUCUGGGAUAACUGCGGGAAACUGUAGCUAAUACCGGAUACUUUCACCGGGGGGCAUCCUCUGGUGAUGAAAGAAUUUCGGUCAAGGAUGAGCUCGCGGCCUAUCAGCUUGUUGGUGAGGUAACGGCUCACCAAGGCGACGACGGGUAACCGGCCUGAGAGGGUGACCGGUCACACUGGGACUGAGACACGGCGCAGACUCCUACGGGAGGCAGCAGUGGGGAAUAUUGCACAAUGGGCGCAAGCCUGAUGCAGCAACGCCGCGUGAGGGAUGAAGGCCUUCGGGUUGUAAACCUCUUUUAGCAGGGAAGAAGCGAAAGUGACGGUACCUGCAGAAAAAGCACCGGCUAACUACGUGCCAGCCGCCGCGGUAA
rnacentral:rRNA from 1 species